rnacentral:ncRNA from 1 species
UUAAAGUCAAUGAUGGGGAGGAGUAUCAUGAGGAUCCCUUAAGCGAGCAGGGGACGGUGGGAGCCCUGUAGGGUUACUUAUGAGAAAAGAGCCCCUAAGACGCUGCCGGAAAGCUUUAUGCAAGUAUGGUAAGCCCCUUCAUAGGGUUAAAAUUUCGAGUGGGCACAUGCCAAUAAGAGUGGUACCGCGGGAUAGCCGUCUCUUGC